rnacentral:rRNA from 1 species
GAUGAACGCUGGCGGCGUGCCUAAUACAUGCAAGUCGAGCGAACGGACGAGAAGCUUGCUUCUCUGAUGUUAGCGGCGGACGGGUGAGUAACACGUGGAUAACCUACCUAUAAGACUGGUAUAACUUCGGGAAACCGGAGCUAAUACCGUAUAAUAUUUUGAACCGCAUGGUUCAAAAGUGAAAGACGGUCUUGCUGUCACUUAUAGAUGGAUCCGGGCUGCAUUAGCUAGUUGGUAAGGUAACGGCUUACCAAGGCAACGAUGCAUAGCCGACGUGAGAGGGUGAUCGGCCACACUGGAGCUGGAACAGGGUCCAGGGUCCUGAGGGAGGCAGCAGUAGGGAAUCUUACGCAGUAGGCGAAAACAUGGCGGAACAACGCCACGUGAGUGGUGGAGGUCUUGGGAUCGUAAAGCUCUGUUAUUGGGGAAAAACAUAUGUGUAAGUAACUGUGCACAGCUUGACGGUACCUGGUAAGAAAGCAACGGCUAACUACGUG